rnacentral:rRNA from 1 species
AGGGUUCCUGUCCAACGUUAAUCGGGGCAGGGUGAGUCGACCCCUAAGGCGAGGCCGAAAGGCGUAGUCGAUGGGAAACGGGUUAAUAUUCCCGUACUUGGUGUUACUGCGAAGGGGGGACGGAGAAGGCUAUGUUGGCCGGGCGACGGUUGUCCCGGUUUAAGCGUGUAGGUGUGUGUUCCAGGUAAAUCCGGUUCACUUUAACACUGAGGCGUGACGACGAGGCACUACGGUGCUGAAGCAACAAAUGCCCUGCUUCCAGGAAAAGCCUCUAAGCAUCAGGUAACAUCAAAUCGUACCCCAAACCGACACAGGUGGUCAGGUAGAGAAUACCAAGGCGCUUGAGAGAACUCGGGUGAAGGAACUAGGCAAAAUGGUGCCGUAACUUCGGGAGAAGGCACGCUGACACGUAGGUGAAGUGAUUUACUCAUGGAGCUGAAGUCAGUCGAAGAUACCAGCUGGCUGCAACUGUUUAUUAAAAACACAGCACUGUGCAAACACGAAAGUGGACGUAUACGGUGUGACGCCUGCCCGGUGCCGGAAGGUUAAUUGAUGGGGUCAGCGCAAGCGAAGCUCCUGAUCGAAGCCCCGGUAAACGGCGGCCGUAACUAUAACGGUCCUAAGGUAGCGAAAUUCCUUGUCGGGUAAGUUCCGACCUGCACGAAUGGCGUAAUGAUGGCCAGGCUGUCUCCACCCGAGACUCAGUGAAAUUGAACUCGCUGUGAAGAUGCAGUGUACCCGCGGCAAGACGGAAAGACCCCGUGAACCUUUACUAUAGCUUGACACUGAACAUUGAGCCUUGAUGUGUAGGAUAGGUGGGAGGCUUUGAAGUGUGGACGCCAGUCUGCAUGGAGCCGACCUUGAAAUACCACCCUUUAAUGUUUGAUGUUCUAACGUGGACCCGUUACCCGGGUUGCGGACAGUGUCUGGUGGGUAGUUUGACUGGGGCGGUCUCCUCCUAAAGAGUAACGGAGGAGCACGAAGGUUGGCUAAUCCUGGUCGGACAUCAGGAGGUUAGUGCAAUGGCAUAAGCCAGCUUGACUGCGAGCGUGACGGCGCGAGCAGGUGCGAAAGCAGGUCAUAGUGAUCCGGUGGUUCUGAAUGGAAGGGCCAUCGCUCAACGGAUAAAAGGUACUCCGGGGAUAACAGGCUGAUACCGCCCAAGAGUUCAUAUCGACGGCGGUGUUUGGCACCUCGAUGUCGGCUCAUCACAUCCUGGGGCUGAAGUAGGUCCCAAGGGUAUGGCUGUUCGCCAUUUAAAGUGGUACGCGAGCUGGGUUUAGAACGUCGUGAGACAGUUCGGUCCCUAUCUGCCGUGGGCGCUGGAGAACUGAGGGGGGCUGCUCCUAGUACGAGAGGACCGGAGUGGACGCAUCACUGGUGUUCGGGUUGUCAUGCCAAUGGCACUGCCCGGUAGCUAAAUGCGGAAGAGAUAAGUGCUGAAAGCAUCUAAGCACGAAACUUGCCCCGA